AACACACAGUUUCAUAAACAGAAAGAAAAAGAAAGAAGAAGAGUUAUUUUAGGAUUUUUGACAACCAUAAUUUUUGAACAGACUAAUUUUAAAAAGGAAAAUUAGGGGAAAUCGUUAAAACAUGGAAUAGGGCACUGAUCCGCUGUAGAUAUCAGAAAACAAGGAAAGAAAAACCUCGAAUCAAGAUUUUUAGGGUUUCUCAAAAACCAUAGAGACGAGAAGUCCUGCUAUGGUCUGGUCUCUGAACGAAUCUGAACCAUGGCUAAGUUUUUCAGAGCUUGAACACACCGGAACGAGGCCGAAAAAGCUAGGGGAGCUCAGGUCGGCAGAUGACUUGAACAUGUCUGUUGAAGGUUGAGCCUUGAAAGCUCGAAUAAUCAUGGCUUGGGGUGAAAGGGGAGAGAAUAUAGGUUUUCCAUGGCCUGAGAAGCCAUUGACUCUGGUGGAUUUUAAUCGGAGACGAAAGUGGGCUGCUAAAAUUUGGAGAGUGCUUGAGAGGAGAGGGGAUUUGGGGGCGAC
rnacentral:lncRNA from 1 species